GAUGAACGCUGGCGGCGUGCCUAAUACAUGCAAGUCGAGCGAACAGAUAAGGAGCUUGCUCCUUUGACGUUAGCGGCGGACGGGUGAGUAACACGUGGGUAACCUACCUAUAAGACUGGGAUAACUUCGGGAAACCGGAGCUAAUACCGGAUAACAUUUUGAACCGCAUGGUUCUAUAGUGAAAGAUGGUUUUGCUAUCACUUAUAGAUGGACCCGCGCCGUAUUAGCUAGUUGGUAAGGUAACGGCUUACCAAGGCAACGAUACGUAGCCGACCUGAGAGGGUGAUCGGCCACACUGGAACUGAGACACGGUCCAGACUCCUACGGGAGGCAGCAGUAGGGAAUCUUCCGCAAUGGGCGAAAGCCUGACGGAGCAACGCCGCGUGAGUGAUGAAGGGUUUCGGAUCGUAAAACUCUGUUAUUAGGGAAGAACAAAUGUGUAAGUAACUGUGCACGUCUUGACGGUACCUAAUCAGAAAGCCACGGCUAACUACGUG
rnacentral:rRNA from 1 species